rnacentral:lncRNA from 1 species
CCCCUCUGUUGCUCAGUCAUUUUUCCUUGCUUGUUGCUUGCCUGCAGUGAUGGGUGUGUGCCCUUUUCCUCACUUGGAGUCUGGCAGUAAAUAAUUUGUCUGCAUUUUUUUUUUUCUUUUUACAUUCUGGAGCAGCUGCCGUGGUUAUUUUGCAGCAGAAAAAGGACCAAUAAAUGGGGAGAAUCCUGAAGAAACCUUGAUUUAAGAACUUUUUGAGGGCAUCAUAUAUUGCAUUCAUCACCCUUAGUGGAUUACUUCUUCUGCUGUAGCUGCACCAGAUUUGUGGGGACAAUAUGGCAGAAGAAGGAAUGUUAAGCUCUGUCAGAGGAGCAGUGGAAAAGUUGCCCCUAUAAACUGAGGAUUGCUCAAGAAUUGCCUUCCCUCUUCCCUGCAGAAGCUGUUUCUCUUUGAGAUGUACUGGGAGAGGGUAAUUCAGUGCCUUGAAAUGUAUGGACAACUGAGGAUGACAAAGCCUGAAAACAAACAUCCUGAAAAGAGUUUAUUAGCAGGCAUUAAAACAGGACAUGCUCACUGAUGCUUAAAGAAACAUUGAAACACUGACACCAGAAUUGAAUUACUGAUGGGCUGAAUUGGAGGACCACUUGAACAGGUCAUGC